rnacentral:rRNA from 1 species
GACGAACGCUGGCGGCGUGCUUAACACAUGCAAGUCGAACGGGAAGGCCUUGCUUUUGUGGGUUGCUCAAGUGGCGAACAGGGCAGUAACCCGUGAGUAACCUGCCCUUGACUUUAGGAUAACUUUAGGAAACUAUGGCUAAUACCGGCUAGGAGCACCUGCUGCAUGGAGGGGGUUGGAAAGUUUCGGCGGUUGGGGAUGGACUGGAGGCUUAACAGUGUGUUGGUGGAGUGUUGGCUUACCAAGGCUUUGACGGGUAGGCGGCCUGAGAGGGUGACCAGCGCCAAUGGGACUAAGAUAGGGCCCAGAAUGGUACGGUCGGCAGUAGUGGGGAAUAUUACAGAACAGGCGGAAGCCUGAUGAAGAGACGCUGCGUGCGGGAUGACGUCUUUCUGGUGAUAAACCGCUGUCGCAUGUGACGAAGCGUGAGUGACGGUAAUGGGUAAAGAAGCACCGGCUAACUACGUG